AGGGAGAAGAAGCGUGAACGAGAGAGGGAUGAACUCUGGAAGAAGCUACAAGCACUAGAGCUGAAUCAUCAGCAGAAACAACAGUGAGAAUACAUGAAUGGUGUAGUGCAGAUGGUCGGAGGUUGGCCUGAGAAGUGGCGUCAUAAUGGUGUGGGCGCGCUUGGCCCUACUCCCUUCCUGAUGAUCAUGUGGGCCUGGGGCUGGACCUGUGGAAUACCAUCACCAAGUUCACAUGCAUCAACCAUACAACUCAAUUUAGUUUUGAAUGUAUUCUGGUCAUAAAAAUGAAGCCAUAAGCAUAGCUGUGCAAAUUUUCCGAGUCCUGUUGUUGUAGAGACAUACGUGUAAGCUACUGAAGAGUGAUGGUGCCCUGGAUAACCUUUAGGGGUACAAACUAUACCCUUUCCCCAGGUAACAUCAGCAGGGAAAAUGGUGUAAGGAUAGCAAUCUAGGCUAUAUGUCUAUUCUGUAUGUAAUAUGUACUAUAUGGUAGCCUACAUAAACUGAUGACCUUUGUAAUUACUCAGUAGGAGAGAUUGUAAGAUGUGUGUAUGAGAUGGGAGGAGCGUUGAAGGUGCUGUUUGGCUUGGAGAAGUUACCGAGAAAAGAGUGGCCCUGUACAUGUCCCACAAGAUGCGGACCAGUUCGCUGCUCCCUGUGGGGGCUGUGCUAUGCUCACCAGUUCCUUGCUAGGAUUUGGUUCAAAUUGAAUUAUUUACAAAUGAUUUCAUGCAUAGGUAUUGGGCCUAAUUCUGGGUUAUGAUUUACUUUACUGGACUUUUUAAUCUACUAUUAUAGGUAGGCCAAUUGUUGUGUUUUGGAGAGGGCUUUUAAUAUUGAACUGAUCAGCAGGUUGUUCAGGUCACAAAAGUGAAUUUGUGAUUGUAGUUUCCUUUGCAUUAGUUAGGAAAUAGUGUAUGUCAUUGCCCAAGUUUGAUUCAUGCAAACCACAUUAUGUCUCCUGUCUGUCAAGGUAGUCAUCCUUUCCUCUCAUGAUUGUACAUAGGUUGAGAGUCUGUGUGCACCAAUUCUUGAUGCUAUUUAUAGCCAUUGUGUUGUGGCCCAAGUAGUCACUGGGAAAAAAGAACAAAAAGUUACAGGACUUGGUCUUGAUUUGGCAAUGUCUAGUCAUCCCCAUAUGUGUGGACUUGGGGCAAUGAGGCCUCACUGUUUUGUAGUCUAGUUUAUGUGGAUGAUUUCACUUGCUUGUUGUCCCCUGUGUUGCUAGCUGAUCAGCUGGUUGGGAAGUACAGGCCCCACUGGUCAGUAAGUUGGGCAGUAAUAGAAAAGCUACCCAGUUUUACUGAUCGUGCUUCCUGUGCUGAGUAUAUCCUCUCCCUUUUGAUUUCAUUUUUAUUUUUUAUUUUUCAAUUUACUUUAUUUUUUUUAUUUUUUUCAUAGGAAGUGCAUUUUUUUCCUGAGAGUGGGAGUUGAUGUUUGCUCUCACCAAUGAUUUAUGCAACCAGUACCAAUGUUUAGUGGAAGGGGUGUGCAGAGGCUCAAACAAACUAUUUAUGAUACUGGCUGGCCAAUGUGAAAGAACCUAAUUAUUGUGUGUUAAUCUGGUGCAAUAGUGUGACUCAUCUAUAGCUGCUGGUGCCCCCUUUUUAGGGGAAUGUGUGCUGUGCAGGUGGUGUCUUGUGCAGAUGCCUGCAAGAGGUGAACAAUAAAACCAUUUAUCCCAGGAACUGUAGUGUGCACUGCCCCCUUCCUACCAAACUCUUCAUUAGUGUGCACCAACCUGGCAACCAACAUAACUAUUCAAGAGAUCUGUAAACGUGCACCCAUCCUGGCCAUCACCGCCACCACCUUCCUGAAUAUUCAUUAAAAUUAACAAUGCCAUCAAUUUGAGAACCCAUAUUAGGCACCUGCUUUGUAACCACUAUAUUCCAUAACCAGGAUAUUCAACAGUCAGACUUAAUUCCAUUCCCCCUCCUCCCCCGAAGUUGUGCCUCACCCUGUUGCUACCAUCAUUAUGGGAUUAAAUAUGUGUAAAUUGUGUAGAUAAUUAAUAUCAUCAUCACAGAGACUACUAGAGACAGCAACUACUUCAGUACUGCCAAUAUUCUGGUCACCAUCACAGCCACAGCGUUUAUGGGAUUGGUGUUGUACACUCCACUUUCUUCGUUCAAUGGAGUAGGAAGAUCACACCCAUUUAACCACUGUGCCCGUUUGUCACUGUUUUGCCACCGAGUUACAAAUCCACACCGUGUGCGCUCACUUACGGAUUGCAAUUCCUAGGAUUUAUAUUGAGCAACUUUGCAAUCUUCCAUAAGCCUGCAGUUUUAUAACUGUUCUGGGUUGCAGAAGCAUAGAGCAGUGUUGAGACUUGUCACCUGUAUUUACCAUAUGUUAGGUUGUUUUAAUGGACUGUAUUAGGUAACUUUCCCAAGGGACUGUUGAUGUGCAGUGAACAAGCACCACCACCCAGGAUAAACAAGUGCACAAGUUACUUCCUGCAGAUAGGCUAGAGAAGUGCACUCAGACCAGCUGGAUCCUACAGGAACCUGGUGGUGUUCACCUGCCCCUUCCAUGUUCUUGAUGGGCAUCAAGGCACCUGCACAAAUCAGCCAAUCUAUUUUCAGUAAAGCUUGUAUACAAUGUACAGUCAAACCUUGAUGUGUAAUAUUAUUAAUUAUAAGCUAGAGAUGUGAUGAGAUUGUUGGAAAAAAUUUGUUACACAACUGAUGAGAUGGUGUGGACACUUUGUAUGUAUGUCACACGAGAUGUAGACUAGCCUUUGCCACAUGCUUUACUUCUGCCUUGUAUGUUUGUAAAUUUAACUGUACAUGUACAUACACCUGAAGCAGAGUAGGGUGUGAGUGUGGCAGCCUGCUCAGGGUCCAGAUCAUGCCGGAUCUAAACCUUUAAAUAGUUUCAUUUAAUAUUAUUAUGGAUUGCAUUUUUUUCAGCUAAGCCGCAAUGUGAUUUGUUUGAAAUGCCUUUAUGCUGGUUAUAUCAUUUAUCAAAAAAGUAGGAGUGAUGAAAAUAACAAGUUGCUUAAUAGGAAGACUCUGCCAUAGCUUCCUCUGGAGUCUCAUCACUGCGUUGUUCAAGCAGAUCAUAAUAUGCAACCAUUUCCAGCAGACUAUCAGGGGAAUGGGGUGAAGUUUGAAUAAUCUCUUUGGGUGUCUUACAGUGCUGAAGGUGGUGGUGGAAUAAAUAUCAGGCUGUCUAGUGUAUAAGUGUUGAUGAAAUUUGUUUCCUAGCAAAUUGGCAAAUUGCUUUUAGGUGACCAAUGCAUAGAAAGAACACAUAUCAUGGAACAUGAAGUGGUCUUGAGUGGAUAAACUAUACCUUUGUAGCUGGUGUCUAAAAGAAAGAAUAAUAAUGUGCAGUGGGUAGAGUGACAAGAGAAAACUAGAUAGCAGCAGCAGCAACUCAGCUCUGCAAAGACAUUUCAGAUACUGCAGGAAGUGGCUGAUGGAAAGAUGGAGGUUCAUGGAAGGACAGAGAUGGACUCUAGUAGGCUGCUGCCUCGGCUUCACAAUGGCAUUCUCUGGGUUGCAUCUUUCACUUGUGGAGAUGUGAUAUUUUAAUACUGCUUUUUCUGUAUGGAACUUGUUCUAUUAUUUCUAUUCCUGUAGACUAGAUAGUGCCAACAUGAUGCAAUAGCAUUAUGCAGCUAGGGUCUCACACAGCCACUGGUGAGCACCAGCUUGGAGACGUGGCGGUGUUGAUGUGCCUCUAGGCUGUGUCCUCCCCCCGGGCCCAGUACUGCCUGUUGUGAGCCACACGGCCGUCGCCUCGUCACUCAGAGAAGCAGCAGCAACAUCGCCUCACCGUUUUUAACUCCAAUCAGUCUGGGAUGUUAAAAUUAAGUAAUAAUACCAUUAUUGUAAUCUUCAUAACUUUCUGUUCACAUAAUGUAAAGCAAGACAAUAAAGAACUUAAAAGUUUGUCUCAUGCAUGUUAUGUCCUUGGUAGUUACUUCCAACUUUGCCAAUAUUCUCAUGGGCUAAGAAUUAUCAGAAUACAUGGUGACAUUAUAAGGAUUUUUUGUUCAUAUUACUUUUAUAGAGCAUAGUUAUGUCUGGUUAAUGUCAUGUGAUAGUCCCUAAUAUAGUUAAAAGUUGAGGAGCUGCAAGUAGUGGUCAGACAAAGCCAGAAUUAGCAUGGAACACAUAAAAAUCUGGUAUGUUGUGAAAACCUGUUUUCCAUUAUGCUACUGAUUAAUUUUUAUUAUUUAUGUUUACAUAUUUAUUUAUUUAUUUAUUUCAUUUACAAAUUCUUUACAUAAUUGUCGCAUAUUUUUAUAUCUUGCUGUUGCUCCUAUAUAUAUAUAUAUAUAUUGUUCAACAUAAGGUUUAUCUCUAAGGAAGGUUAGCAAUUGUCUAUCUGCUCACUUUUAAUUUCAUAAGAGCUUUAGGGUAAUUCUCUGACUGAUGUUACUUGGUACAAUUAUUUUUGUACACCUUAGAUUUAUAUUUUAGUCCAUUAUGGAGGUCUACCCUAUGAAGGAAGUAGUGAUUCCUUUUUUUCCAUCACCAGACUAUUGGACUUCAUGUCAUCUCCCAAACAGACACCAACUCACUUUUGCAAUAGGUCAGUGAAAUUGUGGUCAUCUUCAUAAUGAUAAUUUCUAUCAAAAAACUUUAGUGAGGGUUUGAAUCAGCCACACAUUCAUCAUGAUGUCAUACCUACAGCAACCAUAUGCAUUAGCCUCAUGAAGUAAUCUGGUAUCAGAAAAGUAACUCCUUGGUACCUUCUGUUGUCACUUGAUGUUUUUGGAGCAAUGUUUAAACACUCCACUGUCAGGUAGCAGAGCAGAGCAGAGCAUGUCUUGCAAGCAUACUUCGGAUUCCAGCAGCUGCAAAUAGGUAAUUGUGUAAAAGCCACAAGCCAGUCCAGCCAUAUACAACACUUGUUCAGGACUUCUCUAGCCAUUUACAAGGAUUCAUGUACUAUUCCAGAAAAUAGCAUUGUGAAAAGUAUUUUAGCCAAAAAGAAAUUAAUAAAUAUACAGUACUUAACUAUGGAUCAUCAUUUUGCAUGGCACUCUUUCCAUGCAAAGGAAGAGCCUUACAAAAAUAGAAAAAAAAAGGUUUAUUACAUCCUUUCAUUAAAACCAAAACAUCAACUGUAGCAUUCUGAGCUGCGUAGAGGAUAAUUCCCAGAGUGCCUCAUGAUGUGCUAUGUAUAUUUGUUAAAAUUUGAUUAGAAGCAUUAAUUUUGCAAAACUUCCAUGUGUGAUCUGUCCCCAAACUAUGGGUCGUAAGGUAUAUCAAUUUAAAGAUUAGCAAUUUUCAUUUCAGUAAAAAAAAAAAAGGAAAUAUAUCCUGUACAUGCUAGUGUCUUUUCUUUUUAGGUGUAAAAAUAAGUGCAUAGGCUUCCUCUACCACAUUUCAUCCAUCCCUUCCUCAUUUUGCCUCAGAAUAAUAUCCUUUGCCAGAAGUAGUUUUAUUGAUAAUCACAAUAAGAGUAUUUCCCACUAUGGGCAUAAUGUAAUGAAUUCUUAUAUGAUUAAAAUGGAAACCUAGUGUAAAAUAAUGUAACCCAUUGGUAAUUUUUCUUGCCAUCCUCCUCUUAUAAUAUAAUUUUCCAUUUAACAUACAACUUUUGAACAGCAUUCUAAACUUUAAACUAUAAAUAAAAAUUGUAUGUGCAGACUUAAUAUAUAGCAAUUUUGCUUUUAACCACAUCUUAUUUUAUGAAAUUUAUGCUCAUAUUUGUGUUAAAUAGCAGUAAGUGCAUGAUAUAGCCAAUAUAAACCUCAUAAUUUAUAGGGAAAUUUGUAUCUUUAAACAUUUUCUUUGUUUCUCUUCUGUAAUUUCCUGGAGAUAAGGGUACAGAACAGAAAUUGGACCUACCUACCUAUGAUUUGUUUUGCCUUUUGAUGUUUAUUUAUUAUACCUAUAAAUACACUAAAACUGUUCAAACCCAAGAUGGACUAACCAGACAUUGUGAUUAUCAGUUUUCUGGCAAAGAUUUAAAGAAGCAAUAUAAUGAAAUUAACCUAAUUGUGCUCAUUUGACUUUGGUUGAACAUAUGGUUCAUUAAAAUAAAAUAUUUAAAUAUUGUAAUAAUUUCUGUCUUGUGCUGAUAUUUGAGAGUAUGCAGUGCUCCUUCCAGAAGUACUAGAGCGCAUUAUAUGCUUGUAAUGUAUCCCCAGUGCCCUAUUGUAAUGACAGUUUUAAACCAAAUACAAACAAAAGAAUUUUAA